rnacentral:rRNA from 1 species
GUGACAGCAGCCGCGGUAAUACGUAGGGUGCAAGCGUUGUCCGGAAUCAUUGGGCGUAAAGAGCGUGUAGGCGGCCCGAUAAGUCCGCUGUGAAAGUCAAGGGCUCAACCCUUGGAUGCCGGCGGAUACUGUCGGGCUAGAGUCCGGAAGAGGCGAGUGGAAUUCCUGGUGUAGCGGUGAAAUGCGCAGAUAUCAGGAGGAACACCUACGGCGAAGGCAGCUCGCUGGGACGGUACUGACGCUGAGACGCGAAAGCGUGGGGAGCAAACAGGAUUAGAUACCCUGGUAGUCC